rnacentral:rRNA from 1 species
AACUUUCAACAACGGAUCUCUUGGCUCUCGCAUCGAUGAAGAACGCAGCGAAAUGCGAUAAGUAAUGUGAAUUGCAGAAUUCAGUGAAUCAUCGAAUCUUUGAACGCACCUUGCGCCCUUUGGUAUUCCGAAGGGCAUGCCCGUUCGAGUGUCU